CCCUGAGCCCCUCUGCGGGCCGGGAGCCCGGCUGCCUGGGCGCGGCCGGGCAGUCGCCGGGUCCGGGGAGACACGUUGAAAAAAACGCUACGCUGGGGCCCCAGAAACCACAAGACAGGUUUUAUGAACCGCCUCCCACCUUCCCCGGCUCGGUCUCUUAGCUAUACUGAGAUGCACAGGGUCUCCCCACCCUCGGCCCAAGCGCAGAGGCAGUGAGAAUAAUCAUCUAGGAAGGGACAUUCCGACAUUGACUCCUAUUGCCGGAUUAAAUCCUAUAAACCUGUAUAUCACGUACUUAUCAGUAAGAUCUUUGGCAACUCUCAGCUUCUGUAAAAGAUGAAUCACUUUCAAUGGAAAAUUAGGUGGAAGUCCCUCAGUUGCACAGAUUCUCCUCUAUUUUUCCAGUCAUCUUCCCAGAAGCAGCAGCUCUUCAGUUUGGGUUAUUGCCACUUGUCUUUUUCCACCACCAAACGUCUACGGUUCAUCUAUAAUCUACUGAAUAUGUCUGCUCAGAUCUCUUCAUUUGUUUCCCUUUAUCUGCAAGGGAUAUAUUCCAAGACCCCAAAACCACAGAUAGUAUUGAACCCUACAUAUACUAUGUUUUUUUCUAUACACACAUUCCUACCUGGAAUAGUUUAAUUUGUAAAUUAGGCACAGUAAGAUAUUAACAAUAAUAAUAAAGUAGAACAAUUAUAAAA